rfam:Nadsonia fulvescens var. elongata DSM 6958 unplaced genomic scaffold NADFTscaffold_2, whole genome shotgun sequence.
GAUGCGGUGGCUCAAUGGUAGAGCGUUGGAUUCCAAAUCCAAAGGUUGCUGGUUCGAUUCCUGUCUGUGUCA